ACCAGAUGACUAAAGUUUAGACUUUGCAGAAGCAAUAUCGAUCACAAAACGGUAUCGGACAUCAUUCCUUACGAGCCUGUGCAGUGCUUCAUUGAUAUAAUCCGGAGUCACUAACUCGAUGUCACAGGUGAUGUUAUGCUUGCCGCAGAAUUCCAUCAUCUCUUGUGUCUCCUUGAUUCCACCAAUAACACUGCCAGUCACCACCCUUUUACCAAAAAUCAACGGAAGAGCUGGUAGUUCGACUGGUUUAGCGGGAGCACCGACAAACACCAAGGUCCCAGACACUUUGAGCAGCUCUAGAAUCGGCCCCAGCGAAUGGCAGGCGGG
rnacentral:misc_RNA from 1 species